AACGAACGUUAGCGGCGCGCCUAACACAUGCAAGUCGCACGAGAAAGGGCUUCGGCCCCGGUAAAGUGGCGCGACGGGUCGAGUAACACGUGGGUAAUCUGCCCUCGAGCUGGGGAUAACAUUCCGAAAGGAGUGCUAAUACCGAAUAAGACCACGACCUCGAAAGGGAUGCGGUCAAAGCUGGCCUCGUAUACAUAAGCUAGCACUUGAGGAUGAGCCCGCGGCGCAUCAGGCUAAGUUGGUGAGGUAAUGGCUCACCAAGGCUAAGACGCGUAGCUGGUCUGAGAGGAUGAUCAGCCACACUGGAACUGAGACACGGUCC
rnacentral:rRNA from 1 species